rnacentral:rRNA from 1 species
UACGUAGGGGGCUAGCGUUGUCCGGAUUUACUGGGCGUAAAGGGCGCGUAGGCGGCCACCGCAAGUCAGUUGUGAAAGCUCUGGGCUUAACCCAGAAAGGUCAACUGAUACUGCGGGGCUAGAGUGCAGAAGGGGCAACUGGAAUUCUCGGUGUAGCGGUGAAAUGCGUAGAUAUCGAGAGGAACACCAGUGGCGAAGGCGAGUCCCUGGACAGAUCCUGACACUGAGACACGAAGGCCAGGGGAGCAAACGGG